rnacentral:tRNA from 1 species
GGAGGGUAUAGCUCAGUGGUAGAGCACGUGCUUAGCAUGCACGAGGUCCUGGGUUCAAUCUCCAGUACCUCCA